CGAUAAUUAAAACUUAAUACAAAUACAAUUUAUAAAAUAAGCCACAAAAAUUGUUAUAAAACUAUUUUGUAAUGGAAUCAGUGAUUUUUUUAUAAAUAAAAUGCUGAGAUAAAUUAAUUAAAAUAUAUUAAAAAUGAAGAAAUUGCAUAAAAACACUAAUUAAUGCUAAAGUAUAGUUUUGAAAAUAUUAUGGGAAAUUUGGUAUCAACAACAGGUCACAAACUACAUAUAGAAUUAAGUGAACAACUUUGAAGCUUAAUGACUUAGUUCUUAAACCUGUAACUAACAGUAGUUCUAGCCAAGACAUAUCGACAGGAUCAUUUUAAAUUAGAAAGCAUACAAAGAAUAUAUGAGGCAAGUUUAUGGUUGCAAUUCCAGAAACAAAGUUUAAGAGUAACAGGAUUGACCAUCGUAGGAUAGUAAAGCAUUCCAAAGAGUUUAACGAAGCAUGAUUCAGGAUCAACCUAAAGAACUUUAGAUAAAGGUCUAGCAGAAUCCCAGAGAAGAAGCAAUUAGAGCACAACCUUCACAUGAAAGUGUCUAUCAUGAGAGUAACCACAUAGGUUGAUGAGCAUGGUCUACAAACAAUUCUUAAUUGAGCAUCAAGAGUCUUGAACAUGUUAAAUACCAGUCAUAGAACGGAGACUUAAACAAUACCAGAAUUCAUAGUAGGCAAGGAUACACCAUGAUCCAUAUUACAAAAUAGAAGAAAAGUUGGACAUUGCAAUUUUGUUUUGUAGGCUUUAGGCAGUAGUAAUCAGGCAUGAAGCACACUUUAAAGUUUACAAAAUACAGGGAAGCAUACUAGGCCAAACAUUGAGAAAAUAUUGUAACGUGAGAUGAUCAUGGGUCAGUUUGCAGAGAAAUAGCAAGUUAUACUUAAAAGAUUCAACAGAAAGAGACUCAUUAAGGCAAUUUCUGCGCAAGAAAUAAUUCCUCUAUGAGUUCCACUACAAAAUUUGAAGGUAAGGCAUGAGAUUAGACUCAUAACAAACAACCAAUAUAGGAAUUUGAGCAUGCAUAGACAUGAUAGUCUCAAUCAAGAAUUACAGUUAAAGAACCUUCCAAAUUGAAUACACUAAAAGAACAUAUAUAGACAUAUACAUAUUCUAAUAGAUUACAGAAGAAUUUCAAAGCAAGGUCAACAGAAUGCCAUAUUGGUUUGUAAGAGUUCAAAUAAGACAUAUAUUCAGAAGCAUGAACACAAGAAGGGGAAAACACAAUUGUGAGGGAUUGAACACUUACCAAUUUGCAGAAUUAAUGACAAAUGAAGGAGAAUCACUAAGUUCUAAUAGCAAAGUAAGAACAACAACAAGAACUCAAAAACCUACUGCGUCAGAGUUCACAAGAGCUUCGAAGGAGUUCCGAGCACUGCUCGCACUAGAAGGUAGAUAGAAACGAUUCUACUGUCCUUGGCUUUUAGUCGGCCAAGCUCAAGUUUUAGUAUAGUAUAGAACGCGUGAAAGUGAGAGAAUAGCUGUGAUUCAGUGGAAUAGGUUAUGGGUUCAUAUAGUAGUAGAAACUGAAAGAACAAACAUGAAAACAAUCAAUUAAGUACAAAUAAGGAAAGAAAAAUAUCACAUGCAAAUUAAAAUCACUAAAGGAGAUGGAGAAUCUCAAAACUCUAAUUGGGGUUCAAUCGUCUGAAAAUUGAACGAAGAGUGCAGAUCGCUCUUUGUCGAGCGUAUAUAGAUGAAAUAAUGCCUAAUUCAAAGAUUUGAAUCAUUCUAAUCCAAUCUCGGAAGUGAUACUUGCAAAACUUAUGCAAGUACCUAAGUAACACCGUAAACGGUUGACCAGUAAUGAGUGAAGAUUAAUAAGGUAAAUAUAUUAUAGGUAGAUUCCAUCUCUGGGUUGCAAUCAAAGAAAAACCAAGCAGCGGAGCUUAGGGUUUCUCAUAGAAGAAGAGAGGAUGAAAGGAUUUGGUGGCGGUUGUGUGAGAAAAGUGGUCUCUAAGGUUUGGGGUUGAGAGAUAUAAGGAGAAAGGGAGGAAGUGUUG
rnacentral:lncRNA from 1 species